rnacentral:lncRNA from 1 species
GUUUAUCUAAGAUUGAAUUAAAACUUUGUAUUUAGACCAAACCAAUGCUAUUUAGCCUAUCAUAUUUGAUUUAAAAUUAAACAUGUUUUUGUGUUUGUAAAAGUUUAUAAAUUGAAUUACUGGACAAUUAAGUAAAUAAAGCAUAAAGUAAGCGAUAACCCAGCCAUCCAGGAGGACAAUUGAAAUUUAAAGUAAUUGAAC